GCCAUCUUGGUGGCCGGAGCUGGGCGUGGAGUUGGCGGUGAGCAGGGCAUCACCCAUGAGGAAAGGGCGGCAUCCCUAAUGCAUUGUUCCUGCAAAGAGGACGCACAGCCGGCCAUGAAGACACAACCUGACAAACACAAAUCCCAAAAGCCCCGCGCGGCGUCCUGCGGACCAUGGAGAAAUCAGCCCGCGGAACGCUGCCCGUGGCCACACGUCCCCGGCUCCGGAGUGGACAGCACAGCGCCCUCCUCUGUCUGCAAGCACAGGUCAGACUCCAGAGUAGGGCGCCCUCCCCAGGCGCGGAGCCCCACUCCAGUCUGGCGGCUGGUGCCUUUCCCAUUGACGUUGUGCAAAGCUGAAGUUCGUCCGUGUUCCUAGCUGCAUGAAUACAGGCUUUGCAUUUAA